AGUGAACGCUGGCGGUAGGCCUAACACAUGCAAGUCGAACGGCAGCACAGAGGAGCUUGCUCCUUGGGUGGCGAGUGGCGGACGGGUGAGGAAUACAUCGGAAUCUACUCUGUCGUGGGGGAUAACGUAGGGAAACUUACGCUAAUACCGCAUACGACCUACGGGUGAAAGCAGGGGAUCUUCGGACCUUGCGCGAUUGAAUGAGCCGAUGUGGGAUUAGCUAGUUGGCGGGGUAAAGGCCCACCAAGGCGACGAUCCGUAGCUGGUCUGAGGGGUUGAUCAGCCACACUGGAACUGAGACACGGUCCAGACUCCUACGGGAGGCAGCAGUGGGGAAUAUUGGACAAUGGGCGCAAGCCUGAUCCAGCCAUACCGCGUGGGUGAAGAAGGCCUUCGGGUUGUAAAGCCCUUUUGUUGGGAAAGAAAUCCAUCUGGUUAAUACCCGGGUGGGAUGACGGUACCCAAAGAAUAAGCACCGGCUAACUUCGUGCCAGCCGCCGCAGUAA
rnacentral:rRNA from 1 species